rnacentral:rRNA from 1 species
GAUCCUGGCUCAGGAUGAACGCUGGCGGCGUGCCUAACACAUGCAAGUCGAGCGAAGCACUUUGCUUAGAUUCUUCGGAUGAAGAGGAUUGUGACUGAGCGGCGGACGGGUGAGUAACGCGUGGGUAACCUGCCUCGUACAGGGGGAUAACAGUUAGAAAUGACUGCUAAUACCGCAUAAGACCACAGCACCGCAUGGUGCGGGGGUAAAAACUCCGGUGGUAUGAGAUGGACCCGCGU